rnacentral:pre_miRNA from 1 species
GAAACACCAUUAUGGAGUAAGACUUCCUUCAGUGGGGCUUUGGUGCUCACUGGGUCUGCCUCUUGAGUGUGUCACU